UGCCCACAACAACAGCAGCCUUGCAGAGGAGUGUGGGAACCACGGAGGGACACCACUCAACCACAGAUCAGGAAGAAACAGGAACAGAGCUGGUGUUUGGAGGUACCUCAGGAAUCUCCUGGGAUCCAUGGGGCYCCACCACUACUGCAGAUCUGCCCACAACAGCGAUGACUUCCGAGAGUGGUGUGGGAUAUCCAGGGAAGAAUGAUACAA